rnacentral:rRNA from 1 species
GACAGAGGGUGCAAACGUUGUUCGGAAUUACUGGGCGUAAAGCGUGUGUAGGCUGCCCCGCAAGUCGGGUGUGAAAGCCCCGGGCUCAACCUGGGAAGUGCACUCGAAACUGCGGGGCUGGAGUCCUGGAGAGGAAGGCGGAAUUCUCGGUGUAGAGGUGAAAUUCGUAGAUAUCGAGAGGAACACCGGUGGCGAAGGCGGCCUUCUGGACAGUGACUGACGCUGAGACGACGAAAGCGUGGGGAGCAAACAGG